AUGGAGCGACUAAGAGAUGUAAAAAAAAGUCCCCCCAAAGGACAGACACCAGACAGAGCAGCCCGUGGCUUCCCGGCAGGAGGGGUACCUAGAGCGCCCUCCAGCCUGACUCAGGGCACCUUGGGGACAGAAGCAGAAGGCGUGGAGAUGGUUCUUCUGAGAGCGGUGGCUGGCCAGCGCUUGCUCUCAGCACUUGGUCCGGUGGGAGGUGGUGGUGGACACGAAGCGGACGGUGGAGCUGCGGCUGCUGCGGCCGCCGCUGCAGCUGCUGAAGCCGCCCUCAGUGGGCAGCGGGCAGGGGACGCUGGGAGCGCAGGCUUCGCCCACCAGCACCGAGCCCCCUCGGCAGCCUACGCCCAGCAGGUCCCCGCCGCCCACGACCCGGGCCCCGCCCACGCUGGAACUGCAGAAGCCGCUGGACCUUCCCAGUCCUCCACUGCCCCCAGAGGAGUGGGUCACGGACACGGAGCUGAAGCGAGAGCGGCCGGUGGCUGGGCUGGUGGCUGAGGCUGUGCUGAAACCCCUGCAGCUGCCGGUCUGGAAGGUGAUAGUGGACUGUCUGGACAUGGUGUCUGGGAGAGGCUGAUGAGGAGUGCUCCUGCUGUGGGUACGUGUGGAGGGGGAUGGAGAAGACAGGGCGUCUGGGGUGCCCUGGCCCCCUGGGCUUUUAUGGGCUCUGGGAGGGGGGGCGGAGCACGCUCCUGCAGGCCUCUGAUGGCAUUUUCUCGGCAUCCACCAACCCUGAGCCCACACUCGGCUCCCCUCCGAAAAAGGCGUAAAAGCCACGCGCUUGUUCCCUGGCAUCCCUCCCCCACAUGGAAACUCCUUUCCAGUUGCAACUUGAUCAGCAGAUGAGUGAGAAGCACGUUAAUUGCCUUCAGUCAUGUCCUAAUCAUGCAUUUUAAAAUGGACUCAGAAAACACUGCCUCAUUUCCAAACCGCUCUCUUAGGCCUGGGACCAACUCCCUCCUGUGCAAACAUCUUGUGUCAGCCCCAGUGACCAUGGUUCACUGUUGCCUGUUCCUUCCUACCCCUUAGGUGUGCAUCUUACUCCUGAACUCUUUCUCAGCUAUUAACUCUCAGAGCCCCCACUCCCAACCCCAACCCUGGCCCAAGCUGUCCGUCCAGAUCUUGAAAAUCCUGCUCUCCACCCAUCUUUCUCAGGAAUCCAUCCCAUUUUGAUGGCCCCUUUGCUUAACUCUGAAGCUGCCAUCAGUAUUGUGUGGGUCACACCAACGUUCUGGGGUGUGAGUGAGUGUGUUCGUGUGAGCACAUAUGUCCUGUCCACUCCAGUGUAACGUGACCAUUAAGGUCAGGUCCUCUGCCUACGUGGAGAGAAGCUGAGAGAAUGGGAAGAUGGGUUUGAAUCCCAGCCCUGCCACUUCCUAAAGGUGAG
rnacentral:lncRNA from 1 species